GGCUCGGUGAAGCGGUGCCACUCCUCAAACAGAGGCUCCACGAUGUAGGAGAUGAACCCUGAGGAUAAACAUAGCGAAGGUCACCUGUUAGAUUAAUAGCCAAAAUUCAGAAAACAGUAUCCACAUGAAUAAAAGAAACGCCAUAACAACAUAUGAUGCUUAUGCAGACCAUCAUUAAAAUCUUUAGGGUAAUAUUUUAACACUUUGGUGAAUGCCAA